UGUUGAAUUGCAUGGUGGUAAAUGUGU
rnacentral:piRNA from 1 species